rnacentral:rRNA from 1 species
UGGGGAAUAUUGCACAAUGGGCGCAAGCCUGAUGCAGCAACGCCGCGUGAACGAUGAAGGUCUUCGGAUCGUAAAGUUCUGUUGCAGGGGAAGAUAAUGACGGUACCCUGUGAGGAAGCGCCGGCUAACUACGUGCCAGCAGCCGCGGUAAUACGUAGGGGGCUAGCGUUAUCCGGAUUUACUGGGCGUAAAGGGUGCGUAGGUGGUCUUUCAAGUCGGUGGUUAAAGGCUACGGCUCAACCGUAGUUAGCCUCCGAAACUGGAAGACUUGAGUGCAGGAGAGGAAAGUGGAAUUCCCAGUGUAGCGGUGAAAUGCGUAGAUAUUGGGAGGAACACCAGUAGCGAAGGCGGCUUUCUGGACUGCAACUGACACUGGGGCACGAAAGGGUGGGUAGCAAACAGG